UACGUAGGGUCCGAGCGUUGUCCGGAAUUAUUGGGCGUAAAGGGCUCGUAGGCGGUUUGUCGCGUCGGGAGUGAAAACACCGGGCUUAACUCGGUGCUUGCUUUCGAUACGGGCAGACUGGAGGUAUGCAGGGGAGAACGGAAUUCCUGGUGUAGCGGUGAAAUGCGCAGAUAUCAGGAGGAACACCGGUGGCGAAGGCGGUUCUCUGGGCAUUACCUGACGCUGAGGCGCGAAGGCGUGGGGAGCGAACGGG
rnacentral:rRNA from 1 species